UUAAGUGGGAAACGAUGUGGGAAGGCCCAGACAGCCAGGAUGUUGGCUUAGAAGCAGCCAUCAUUUAAAGAAAGCGUAAUAGCUCACUGGUCGAGUCGGCCUGCGCGGAAGAUGUAACGGGGCUAAACCAUGCACCGAAGCUGCGGCAGCGACGCUUAUGCGUUGUUGGGUAGGGGAGCGUUCUGUAAGCCUGUGAAGGUGUGCUGUGAGGCAUGCUGGAGGUAUCAGAAGUGCGAAUGCUGACAUAAGUAACGAUAAAGCGGGUGAAAAGCCCGCUCGCCGGAAGACCAAGGGUUCCUGUCCAACGUUAAUCGGGGCAGGGUGAGUCGACCCCUAAGGCGAGGCCGAAAGGCGUAGUCGAUGGGAAACAGGUUAAUAUUCCUGUACUUGGUGUUACUGCGAAGGGGGGACGGAGAAGGCUAUGUUGGCCGGGCGACGGUUGUCCCGGUUUAAGCGUGUAGGCUGGUUUUCCAGGCAAAUCCGGAAAAUCAAGGCUGAGGCGUGAUGACGAGGCACUACGGUGCUGAAGCAACAAAUGCCCUGCUUCCAGGAAAAGCCUCUAAGCAUCAGGUAACAUCAAAUCGUACCCCAAACCGACACAGGUGGUCAGGUAGAGAAUACCAAGGCGCUUGAGAGAACUCGGGUGAAGGAACUAGGCAAAAUGGUGCCGUAACUUCGGGAGAAGGCACGCUGAUAUGUAGGUGAAGUCCCUCGCGGAUGGAGCUGAAAUCAGUCGAAGAUACCAGCUGGCUGCAACUGUUUAUUAAAAACACAGCACUGUGCAAACACGAAAGUGGACGUAUACGGUGUGACGCCUGCCCGGUGCCGGAAGGUUAAUUGAUGGGGUCAGCGCAAGCGAAGCUCUUGAUCGAAGCCCCGGUAAACGGCGGCCGUAACUAUAACGGUCCUAAGGUAGCGAAAUUCCUUGUCGGGUAAGUUCCGACCUGCACGAAUGGCGUAAUGAUGGCCAGGCUGUCUCCACCCGAGACUCAGUGAAAUUGAACUCGCUGUGAAGAUGCAGUGUACCCGCGGCAAGACGGAAAGACCCCGUGAACCUUUACUAUAGCUUGACACUGAACAUUGAGCCUUGAUG
rnacentral:rRNA from 1 species